rnacentral:pre_miRNA from 1 species
UGCUGUAGCAGCACGUAAAUAUUGGAGUUAAACUACUGCUGAAGCCUCCAGUAUUGAUCGUGCUGCUGAAGCAAAGCUGAC